GACGAACGCUGGCGGCGUGCUUAACACAUGCAAGUCGAACGGAAAGGCCCUGCUUUUGUGGGGUGCUCGAGUGGCGAACGGGUGAGUAACACGUGAGUAACCUGCCCUUGACUUUGGGAUAACUUCAGGAAACUGGGGCUAAUACCGGAUAGGAGCUCCUGCUGCAUGGUGGGGGUUGGAAAGUUUCGGCGGUUGGGGAUGGACUCGCGGCUUAUCAGCUUGUUGGUGGGGUAGUGGCUUACCAAGGCUUUGACGGGUAGCCGGCCUGAGAGGGUGACCGGCCACAGUGGGACUGAGAUACGGCCCAGACUCCUACGGGAGGCAGCAGGGGGGAAUAUUGCACAAGGGGCGGAAGCCUGAUGCAGCAACGCCGCGUGCGGGAUGACGGCCUUCGGGUUGUAAACCGCUUUCGCCUGUGACGAAGCGUGAGUGACGGUAAUGGGUAAAGAAGCACCGGCUAACUACGUG
rnacentral:rRNA from 1 species